AUCCAGUUUGAGUGCCUGCAUUGUAGUAUCUUUCCACGAGUAAGUUUUCAAUGAAAUGCGUUGCUUUUUCAGUCGUUCUUUCAGCUCAUCUGGUCUUGUUAUCUUUCCAAUAAUAGGAGAAAAAUAUCCUGUACUACAUUUUAUCCUUUUCAUACUUUUUUCAUCAUCCUUGUAUUCAACAAACUCAUAAACAAACUUGGAGAUUAUAUCAUCAACAACUUGAUACUGUGCGCUUUGUGCAAAGUUCUUGUGCUGUUCACUUUCAAGGUGAGUUUGUAGAUCUUCAUAUUUCUUCCCACAGCAUUCACAAUAUCCUCUCCUUUUUUUGUCCUUCUGAUGAAGCUGAACAGGAGUUCUAUAGUCCUUGUCACUGUUUAUUUUGUUUCUUUGCUUAUACUGAGUUUGUUUUUGACCAGAAGGAUGCUUCUUAUCCACCUCAAAUGGACUACAAGGUUUUGGAACACAGUAGUUCAGAGAUGGAAAACUCGGUAACUGUAGAUAAAAUGGUCGGUAGGAGCGACUUCUAUCUUC
rnacentral:lncRNA from 1 species